GCAGGAUUCUCUGCAGCGUUUGCAUGCAAUGGGUUUGAGCAGGGCACCACUGGCUCACAUCAAGACUUGGCAGGAUCCCUGAUGUUCAGUGAAACAGGUCAAAGUAUGGCGCUAGAGACGAGGAGGAUCAGAAGGAUGCUACAUCCCCAGCCAUGUCUGAGAGAUUUUGCCAGGACACUAACCUACGAGAUAUCUGGACUUCCGGGCAACCAAAUCAAGUAUAUUGAAGAUGUAGACCAAUGAAACUCCACAAAAUACUUAAAAAUAUAUACAACAGCUUCAUUCAUUAAGUGGCACUAAUGAGAAUCACAUGCGACUGACUCCACAAAUCCAUAA